UACGGAGGGAGCUAGCGUUGUUCGGAACUACUGGGCGUAAAGCGCGCGUAGGCGGCUUUGUAAGUUAGAGGUGAAAGCCCGGGGCUCAACCCCGGAAUUGCCUUUAAGACUGCAUCGCUUGAAUCCGGGAGAGGUGAGUGGAAUUCCGAGUGUAGAGGUGAAAUUCGUAGAUAUUCGGAAGAACACCAGUGGCGAAGGCGGCUCACUGGACCGGCAUUGACGCUGAGGUGCGAAAGCUAGGGGAGCAAACGGG
rnacentral:rRNA from 1 species